GAGUUAAAUAAAGCAUUUUAUUUCAAUUUUCUGUUAUAUUUAAUACAUACGCAGCAGCGUGGUCGUUCACCCAGUAGUGAACAUGAAGGUCCAAUUGAUGGUCAAACAUGACCACAAACCCGUUGGCCUUAUUGACCUGGUCAUUCAAUUCUUUAGUUAUAAAAGGAUCUGAAUUAAGUAAUAAAUGCUGUUUUGUUGCUUCCGCACAAGAAUGUAACUUCAACCUCAGAGUCAGGAAAAAUGGUUUUGAAAACCUCUGUAAUGUUCUCAGACAUAAUAAUCUCAGACAUUAAGGACCCACAUCACAUCUGCCUGCAGAGUUGGUGUUGAGCCACAGUAAAGGAUAGGAUGUUCCUUUGCUGUGGCGGCAGGGCUGGGCAAGCUACUUGAAAAAUCUUAUAAGCUAAGCUAUUAGCUACUCUACUUAAAAUGUAGCUUAACUACACUAAAAGCUACCCUCUGGGAAAUGUAGCAAGCUAAGCUAAAAACUAAUUGGAAAAAGUAGCUUAGCUACAUCUAAGAAAUUUUUACAAUUUUUAUUUUUAAAUCGAACCAACUUAAAUCCAAUUCAAUCAGAUCUCAGUGAUCAAUAAAACUGUCAUUGAAACAUAUGAGACAUAAUUCAGUUCAGUUAUUUAUUGUAAAUAAUAUGCUGUACUAAACGGAAACAAAUU
rnacentral:lncRNA from 1 species